UAAACCCCUCUAUUGUCUACACCACUUAGUUAGACCCCCCAUUUUCCUCUUCUUCCUGCCUCGUCUAGGGUUGUUAUCUCCUCUCUCAUUUGGCAGCUAUUCUUUCCGGUGGUUCCAUAGUUCCGUUGACGCCUUUCCUUAGUUCCUCUCAUUCGCAGUUGUAGGGACAGCUGUGCAAGGUGGAUAUGGAAUGCGUGGUUCAGGGAAUUAUAGAGACACAGCAUGUUGAGGCCUUGGAGAUUCUUCUUCAAGGACUAUGUGGUGUUCAGAGAGAACGAUUGAGGAUCCAUGAAAUAUGCCUCAAGAGUGGUCCACAUCUGGGUGAGUGUUUUGUUUAAAUAUUUUGCUAUUUUGUGGCCAACAAAAUUUCCAUAUGUUUUUGCUGCUAUGAAAUUUAUUUUAUUACUAACAAAGGGGAAAAGAAUAUCAUUAUCCUGGGAAAGACAAGUAUGAUAUAAUAUAACUUACAUUAGGAACCAGGGAAACAAACACCCAUACGACGAAGCCUUCAAUUUUAAUGUGUCUAAGAAGCAAGCCCCUGAGAAUAUGAGAGCACAUAUGAGAUGAACAGCACCGAGGAUAGAGGAAAAGAGCAUUAUCCUUCACCCUACUCCACCAAAGCAGGAAAAAAUAGUGCUUCUCUCCAGAGCCUUACCCAAUUUACUCCCUCCCAAGUCUCCAAAUGCAAUUUUGGAAAAUUGCUUCAAAUUAUGAGGAAAUACCCAGGAUUCCUUGGAAGCCUGGAAUUUGUAGUCCUGAAUGGCAUGUGUGCUUAGCUUCUGGCCACUGUAAAAUUAUACAACUUAAUAUUUUUUGUAUGCUGUUUGCACAUAAUGUGUAAUCUCCGUUAACUGUUUGUUUCAGUAUAUGCAGUGACAUUUUCAUUUAGAAUGCAUUUGAUAUGCUAUCAAGUGAAGGGCUAGACAGUACAAAGUUCCAAAAAAUU